UUAAAGCAUCGUAGGACAAUGCCGCUAUGUAAACUGUAAGGUGGGUCUUAAAUUAGUGUGAGUUAUUUUGGCACCGGACUCAACCUUCACGUUACAAUAUUUAAAGUAUUGCGCUGUCAUAGUAACGAAAAUGAUAAACACGUCAAUCGGAGUAAACAAGUAACUAAAUGAUGCAAACAAGAAAAUAUUGCAAAAUAGGUACAUAUAUAUGUACCGAUAAUUAUUUUGUGUUAAAAAUAUGAGGCAAAUUAUACUGCCCGAUUAUACGGACUACAUAUUAAAAACGAUUAUCUUGGAAACAGUCAAUAGAUGUCGAACCACCAGCAAAGUUUUUGAAGAGGUGUACCUAGUUCCUGGUACCAACUGGAAACUGAAACUAAUAAUCUACACUCAAGAAAAUGAAAUAUAGUCACAGAAAACUUUAAUGUUUUAUUUUAUUAAAGAAAAACGUUAAAAAAAUGUGUAAACAGAAA